rnacentral:rRNA from 1 species
GGUGAGUAAUAUAUAGGUAAUAUGCCUUUUGGUUUGGAAUAACCCCGCGAAAGCGGGGCUAAUACCGAAUGAUGCAGCGGCUCCGAAUGGAGAUGUUGUUAAAGCUUCGGCGCCAAAAGAUUAACCUGUAUCCCAUUAGAUAGUUGGCGAGGUAACGGCUCACCAAGUCUGCGAUGGGUAGCUGAUCUGAGAGGAUGAUCAGGCCACACUGGAACUGAGACACGGUCCAGACUCCUACGGGAGGCAGCAGUGAGGAAUAUUGCGCAAUGGAGGAAACUCUGACGCAGCGACGCCGCGUGAAGGAUGAAGGCCCUCUGGGUUGUAAACUUCUGUAGAGAGGGAAGAAUUUUUCGCUUCGCGAAAUUGACGGUACCUCUAAAGUAAGGGUCGGCUAACUACGUGCCAGCAGCCGCGGUAAUACGUAGGACCCAAGCGUUGUCCGGAUUUACUGGGUGUAAAGGGAGCGCAGGCGGAUUUUCAAGUCGAUGGUGAAAUCUUGCGGCUCAACCGCAAAACAGCCGUCGAUACUGUUAAUCUUGAGUGUGGAAGAGAGUGGUGGAAUUCAUGGUGUAGCAGUGAAAUGCGUAGAUAUCAUGAAGAACACCGGUUGCGAAGGCGGCCACUUAGUCCAUUACUGACGCUCAUGCUCGAAAGCGUGGGGAUCAAACAGGAUUAGAUACCCUGGUAGUCCACGCCCUAAACGAUGAAUACUCGGUGUCGGGUCGCAAGAUUCGGCGCUAAGCAAACGCAUUAAGUAUUCCACCUGGGGAGUACGGCGCAGGU